CGUGGCCUGGUGGUUAAGACGCCAGGCCAAUAACCUGAUGGUCGUAGGUUCAA
rnacentral:tRNA from 1 species